rnacentral:rRNA from 1 species
ACAUGCCUACAACAUAACAUUAAUGCACCAAAUCCCAUUAGAACUCCACAGUUAUGCACGCUCAGGCUAGAGUAGUACUAGGAUGGGUGAUUAUAUGAGAAGUCAUAGUAUUUUACAUGCC